rnacentral:rRNA from 1 species
UAAAAAAUUUGGCGGUAUUUUAGUCUAUUCAGAGGAACCUGUUUUGUAAUCGAUAAUCCACGAUGGACCUUACUUAAGUUUGUAAUCAGUUUAUAUACCGUCGUUAUUAGAAUAUUUUAUAAGAAAGUUAAUUUUCAAGAUUUUUAAAAAGAAAAUAUAUCAGAUCAAGGUGUAGCUUAUGUUUAAGUAUAAAUGGGUUACAAUAAAAUUAUUUAGACGAAUUUAAGUUUGAAAUAUUUAUUGAAGGUGGAUUUGAUAGUAAAAUUAUAUAGAUAAAUGAUUUGAUUUUAGCUCUAAAAUAUGCACACAUCGCCCGUCACUCUUACUAUUAAGGUAAGAUAAGUCGUAACAUAGUAGAUGUACUGGAAAGUGUACCUAGAAUGCAAUUUAAAGCUUAUUAAGUAAAGCAUUUCAUUUCCAUUGAAAAGAUUUUUGUGCAAAUCAAUAUAAAUUGAUUAAAUUUUAUUUAUUAAUUUUUUUUUUAUGUUAAUAAAAUAUUAAAAAUAAUUAUAAAAUUAUUUGUUUGAGUAUUUUUUAUAGAAAAAAUAAUAUUAAUUAUAGUUAAAUAGUAUUGUGAAAGAAAAUUGAAAUAAUUUGAAAAAUUAUUAUUU